rnacentral:rRNA from 1 species
UACGGAGGGUGCGAGCGUUGUCCGGAAUUAUUGGGCGUAAAGGGCUCGUAGGCGGUUCGUCACGUCGGGAGUGAAAACUCGGGGCUUAACCCCGAGCCUGCUUCCGAUACGGGCAGACUAGAGGUAGGCAGGGGAGAGCGGAACUCCUGGUGUAGCGGUGGAAUGCGCAGAUAUCAGGAAGAACACCGGUGGCGAAGGCGGCUCUCUGGGCCGUAACUGACGCUGAGGAGCGAAAGCGUGGGGAGCGAACAGG